rnacentral:tRNA from 1 species
CAUUAAGAAGCUAUGAACCAGCGUUAGCCUUUUAAGCUAAAGAAAGAGGGCCACAUCCCUCCUUAAUGA